GCCUGGGUGGCUCAGUUGGUUGAGCAUCCGACUUCAGCUCAGGCCAUGAUCUCCUGGUUUGUGGGUUUGAGCCCCGCAUUGGGCU
rnacentral:tRNA from 1 species